rnacentral:misc_RNA from 1 species
GGAAGGAUCAUUAUCGAGCAAAAAAAAAGACUCUCGCUAAGUUCACUGAGAGAGCCGUCGCGGGGUCGCCUCUCGCUCGCGCGCUCGCGCUUUCGGCCUUUUGGGGCCGGACCGAGCGCGCGAAGUUGAGAGGUCGGUCGUCGGCUAACCAGCCGUACACGACCGCCCACGCGACGCGAGCAAGGGAGACAGUCCGAAACUCCUCGCCGAACCUUUUGCGAGCGCUAGUUUCGGAGGGCGUCGUCUCGCCUUGCUCAUCUAUCCGACUAACGGUUAUCUGUUGGCGUCUACGCCUGAGCCUAGAGUUACGGUUGUCGUUCCGUCGACCGUCUUGAUGGCCAGGAGACAGUUCCCGAUCGAGUAAUCGGUCGGUCGAGCAGACUUAAUGAGCGCCGGCCGGGGCGUCGCCAGCAACCCACUUUAACGAGGUUACCGAAUUGAUCACCUCCGGCUUUGAACAAAAGUUGGAAAAAUUACUACUCUAAGCGGUGGAUCACUCGGCUCGUGGAUCGAUGAAGAACGCAGCUAGCUGCGUUAAAUAGCGCGAAUUGCAGACACAUUGAGCGCUAAAAUUUCGAACGCACAUUGCGCCAUCGGGUUCGUUCCCGUUGGCAUGCCUGUCUGAGGGUCAGAUACCCCAUGUUACCGAUAUUCGCUCGGCCGACUAGGCUGUUUGCGCGGCGGUCGUCUUGCCGCGCAAAGUCCCUAGUACGUACGGUUGAGCCGGUUAAUCGGAGCGCUACUACGGCGUAUAGUACCGCUCUCAGAUGAGACAGUUCUUCGGAACUCGCGUAUCGCACGCGACGCUUCGACUUAAAAGACGUAAAUCGUAUUCGUGCCGCUGUCUAGCUCGAAUCGCGACCACAAGUCCUAGUCGAAAGCGUACUUCAUCAAUUGACCUCAGAUCAGACAUGACUACCCGCUGAAUUUAAGCAUAUCACUAAGCGGAGGAAAGGAAACUAACGAGGAUUCCUCUAGUAACGGCGAGUGAAUGGGGAAGAGCCCAGCGCUGAAUCCGUCGGCCUCUGGCCGCUCGACCUGUAGCGUAUAGACGCGGUCGUCCGUCGUCAGCGAUCACCCUAAGUUCUCUUGACUGAGACUAUUGUCCAAAGAAGGUGCCAGGCCUGUGAGGGUGACGCCGGCGGCGGUAGGUCGUGUCUCGGAGUCGGAUUGCCUGAGAUCGCAGUCCAAAGAGGGUGGUAAACCUCAUCUAAGGCUAAAUACGGCCACGAGACCGAUAGCAAACAAGUACCGUGAGGGAAAGUUGCAAAGAACUUUGAAGAGAGAGUUCAAGAGGGCGUGAAACCGCUUAGAAGGAAGCGGAUAGAGCCGACGAAACUCGGCGGCAUUCAUCCGGCCGCUAUCGGCACUAGGGGCGACGCGAUCUUCGGACGCGCCGUUUUUAGGCCGUCGGUGGCGACCGGUGCAUUUGCCGUCGGUAUGCGCCGAGAGCGCCGCCGUCGUCGUACGACCGGUCGGGUAGCAGCCCUUAGCCUCACGGCUACGGUGUCUUGCCCGGCCGUUAGGACGAUCUUCGGUGGCGUUGCUCCGUGGGGGCGUCUCGCCGAUGGAACGGGAAGUGUCGCGGGUCGGUGUCGUCGAGGGCGGUCGCGUGCGACCUGCCUCCGGCGGCGCUUGCUCGUUGCGCUCCUCCGUGUCGGGCGCCGUCUCGGUGUGAAAGUCGGCCACCUAUCCGACCCGUCUUGAAACACGGACCAAGGAGUCUAACAUGUGCGCGAGUCAUUGGGUGUCAAACCUAAAGGCGAAAUGAAAGUGAAGGCCGGCUCGAUCGGCUGAUAUGGGAUCCGUUCGGUUUCGGCCGAGCGGCGCACCAUAGUCCCGUCUCGACCGCUUGCGGUGGGGCGGAGGCAGAGCGUACACGUUGGGACCCGAAAGAUGGUGAACUAUGCCUGAGCAGGACGAAGCCAGAGGAAACUCUGGUGGAGGUCCGAAGCGGUUCUGACGUGCAAAUCGAUCGUCAGGACUUGGGUAUAGGGGCGAAAGACUAAUCGAACCAUCUAGUAGCUGGUUCCCUC